UACAGAGGGGGCAAGCGUUAUUCGGAAUCAUUGGGCGUAAAGGGCGCGUAGGCGGCUUGGCAAGUGGAUGGUGAAAUCCCUCGGCUUAACCGAGGAACUGCCGUCCAAACUGCUUCGCUUGAGACCGGGAGAGGUGAGUGGAAUUCCCAGUGUAGCGGUGAAAUGCGUAGAUAUUGGGAGGAACACCAGUGGCGAAGGCGGCUCACUGGACCGGUACUGACGCUAAGGAGCGAAAGCGUGGGGAGCGAACAGG
rnacentral:rRNA from 1 species